rnacentral:rRNA from 1 species
GUUACCAAACUGUUGCCUCGGCGGGGUCACGCCCCGGGUGCGUCGCAGCCCCGGAACCAGGCGCCCGCCGGAGGAACCAACCAAACUCUUUCUGUAGUCCCCUCGCGGACGUAUUUCUUUACAGCUCUGAGCAAAAAUUCAAAAUGAAUCAAAACUUUCAACAACGGAUCUCUUGGUUCUGGCAUCGAUGAAGAACGCAGCGAAAUGCGAUAAGUAAUGUGAAUUGCAGAAUUCAGUGAAUCAUCGAAUCUUUGAACGCACAUUGCGCCCGCCAGUAUUCUGGCGGGCAUGCCUGUCCGAGCGUCAUUUCAACCCUCGAACCCCUCCGGGGGAUCGGCGUUGGGGAUCGGGACCCCUCACACGGGCGCCGGCCCCUAAAUACAGUGGCGGUCUCGCCGCAGCCUCUCCUGCGCAGUAGUUUGCACAACUCGCACCGGGAGCGCGGCGCGUCCACGUCCGUAAAACACCCAACUUUCUGAAAUGUUGACCUCGGAUCAGGUAGGAAUACCCGCUGAACUUAAGCAUAUCAAUAAGCGGAGGAAA